rnacentral:rRNA from 1 species
GAUGAACGCUGGCGGCGUGCCUAAUACAUGCAAGUCGAGCGAACAGACGAUGAGCUUGCUCCUCUGACGUUAGCGGCGGACGUGUGAGUAACACGUGGAUAACCUACCUAUCAGACUGGGAUCACUUCGGGACUCCGGCGCAUAUCCCGGAUAAUCUAUUGAACCGUAUGGGGCAAUAGAAAAAGACGGUUUUGGUGUCACUUAUAGCUGGUUACGGGCCGCUGUGGGUAGUUGUGAAGGUAACGGCUUACGAAGGCGACGAUGCGUAGCCGACGUGCUAGGGGGGUCGGCCACACUGGAACUGGGACGCGGUCCUGGGUCCUACGGGAGGCAGCAGUAGGGAAUCGUCCGCAAUGGGCGAAAGCUUGACGGAGCAACGCCGCGUGAGUUGUGAAGGUGUUGGGAUCGUAAAGCUCGGUUAUUAGUGAAGAACAAAUGUGUAAGGAACUGUGCACGUCUUGACGGUACCGAGUCAGAAAGCCACGGCUAACUACGUG